CCAGUCAGGAUGGAAGAUGUGCCGGGAAGGCGUGAGUGAGGAGCGGGGCAGGAAGGGGUCGCUUGCGCCUGGCGCUGGGGUCUCCGAAGACCCCAGGCUCCUCCUCUUCCUGCUCCUUUCUGCUCUCCAGUACCCUGGAGCUGGAUGGGGUGGGGGUAGAUUCCAUCGAGGGUUGCUUCCUUAAAUAAACACCUGGGCCUGUUGUGUGCCGGAUGACCCAGGGAUACCUAUCUGUCCCUUUUCAUUGAGUGACUUGCCCAAGGUCACCUGGCUAGCAAAUGGUGGCUAGGCUCCACAGCCGGCCCUCAUCUUAGCACGAGCUCUGUGCGUUCCCAGGAGGUGGCGUGGGAGUAGUUUCUGCUUAUGCGGCGCUUCUGGUUUUUAACGAAUAGAAGGAAAUUGAGGAGACAAAUGGCAUGGUGGCUUUUAGGAGGUUUGAAAACCACCCAGAGCUCUCGGAAUCAGCCGGUUCAGAUCUCCUGCUCCAUCAAGUUCUACUGUGGGAAAGGUCGUCUGUGCAGGACCUGUCCCUGCUCUGCCACACGAGUCCGUCAGAAUGGAGUUUCAGUUUCCUGGAGGCCAUCUAUGGAGUUUCCAGGGAACUUGUACCGGGGAGAAGGCAUCGUGCAUGC